CAGGUGUGCAACGCAAGCUGGAGAUGGUUAAUCAGAGUGAUCAUAAAUCCUUGAAGAACAUUGUGAAACAACCAAGGUAUCGACUACCUGGAAGAAAGAGUCCAAGUACAUCAUUUUGAGCUGCCCUGAGCUUCCUCUUACUUUUGCUUAUCCCACUCCUGAGUUUCCAACUCCAAAUUUUGAGUAUCAUACUGCCUUCGACGGUGUUGUGUUUGGAACUGUAAGUAAUUGAUCACCUACAUGGCAUUGAUAUAAUUCUUAGCUACUCUGCUAUCGCCAGAAUUAUUGUAAGAAUGCAUCUUUGGUGAAUUACUGCCUCUAAAGUUAAUUAGUAAUAUUGAAUGCAUACAGUUGAAGACCAUAGGCAUGAAAAAACAUGAAUAACAGGAUGUAUGCUAACUUUUGGAUAACAGGAACACUAUUUAUAGUUGGAGGUAUGGCUUGUUCUUUGCUCUAUUGAGUGAAAUUU